CGGACGGGUGAGUAACGCGUGGAAAACCUGCCGUAUACUGGGGGAUAACACUUAGAAAUAGGUGCUAAUACCGCAUAAGCGCACAGCUUCACAUGAAGCGGUGUGAAAAACUCUGGUGGUAUACGAUGGUUCCGCGUCUGAUUAGCUAGUUGGUGGGGUAAUGGCCUACCAAGGCAACGAUCAGUAGCCGGCCUGAGAGGGUGAACGGCCACAUUGGGACUGAGACACGGCCCAAACUCCUACGGAAGGCAGCAG
rnacentral:rRNA from 1 species